GUCUACGGCCAUUCCACCCUGAAUGUGCCUGAUCUCGGAAGCAAAGCAGUGUCAGGCCUGGUUAGUACUUGGAUGGGUGACCACCUGGGAAUAAUGGUUGUGGUAAGCU
rnacentral:rRNA from 1 species